GAACUUGCCAAGUCGAACGAAAAACAAGCCUAGCUUGCUAAGCUUGUUUUUAGUGGCGCACGGGUGAGUAACACGUGAGUUACCUGCCCCCAAGAGUGGGAUAGCCCCGGGAAACUGGGAUUAAUACCGCAUAAUAUCGCAAGAUUAAAGGUGCAAACCGCUUGGGGAUGGGCUCGCGGCCUAUUAGUUAGUUGGUGAGGUAACGGCUCACCAAGGCGAUGACGGGUAGCCGGUCUGAGAGGAUGUCCGGCCACACUGGAACUGAGACACGGUCCAGACACCUACGGGUGGCAGCAGUCGAGAAUCAUUCACAAUGGGGGAAACCCUGAUGGUGCGACGCCGCGUGGGGGAGCGAAGGUCUUCGGAUUGUAAACCCCUGUCAAGUGGGAGCAAAUUAAAAAGAUAGUACCACUAGAGGAAGAGACGGCUAACUCUGUGCCAGCAGCCGCGGUAAUACAGAGGUCUCAAGCGUUGUUCGGAAUCACUGGGCGUAAAGCGUACGUAGGCGGCUUGGUAAGUCGUGUGUGAAAGGCAGGGGCUCAACCUCUGGACUGCACAUGAUACUGCCAGGCUAGAGUAAUGGAGGGGAAACCGGAAUUCUCGGUGUAGCAGUGAAAUGCGUAGAUAUCGAGAGGAACACUCGUGGCGAAGGCGGGUUUCUGGACAUUAACUGACGCUGAGGUACGAAGGCUAGGGGAGCGAAAGGGAUUAGAUACCCCUGUAGUCCUAGCAGUAAACGGUGCACGCUUGGUGUGCGGGGAUUCGACCCCCUGCGUGCCGGAGCUAACGCGUUAAGCGUGCCGCCUGGGGAGUACGGUCGCAAGAUUAAAACUCAAAGAAAUUGACGGGGACCCGCACAAGCGGUGGAGUAUGUGGCUUAAUUCGAUGCAACGCGAAGAACCUUACCUAGGCUUGACAUGUAAUGAACAACAUGUGAAAGCAUGCGACUCUUUUAGAGGCGUUACACAGGUGCUGCAUGGCCGUCGUCAGCUCGUGUCCUGAAAUGUUUGGUUAAUUCCAGCAACGAGCGCAACCCCCGGUUGCCAGUUACCAGCACGUUAUUGUGGGGGAAUCUGGGCGAAACUGGCCAGAUUAACUGGGGAGGAAAGGUGGGGGACAACCUCCCGGUCAGUAUGGGCCCUUAUGCCUAAGGGGUGGACACCGUACUUAAAAGGCCCAGUAAAAAAAGGGGUCCAAACCCCCCAGGGGGGAGGAGAUCCUUAAAAAUUGGUGCCAUUUUCUUAG
rnacentral:rRNA from 1 species